ACAGAAUUACACAGGCAAUGAUCCAGUCAGUGACAAUUAAUUAUCGUGAUAAUUACGGCCUAAUUACAAAUCACCUAAAGGACGUUAAAAAGACCAACAAACUAACACCACUUGGCUAUACCACAGCGAGUCACGUGACGCCAGACAGGUCUCAAACGUUCACCACGCUGGUAAAAUCCAUGGAUACGGUGCUUACAAACCUAAGAACAUAAUCUGGGAUUCGAACCCACGAUGACAUUCUCUUGCACGAAUAGGGACUCAGCUCUACACAGCAAAUUGCGGACCUUUAACCAACUGGGCCAUCGGAUACUUUAACCGCCAGGCUACCUCACCACCUCUGAGGGGUGUAUCGAACCCAGGCCUUCCGUAUGCUGAGUCAAACCUCUACCACUGUGAUUCCAUGAAUUGAGAGAAGACAACCAGGGAGACAAAAAGAUAGAGAAGAUUUUAAUUCCAGUCCAACAAGGACAGAUAACGCUACCUACAAGUAAAAUGAAGAAAAUUGGGAA